CACCGGAGCUUGCUCCACCGAAAAAAAAAGAGUGGCGAACGGGUGAGUAACACGUGGGUAACCUGCCCAUCAGAAGGGGAUAACACUUGGAAACAGGUGCUAAUACCGUAUAACACUAUUUUCCGCAUGGAAUAAAGUUGAAAGGCGCUUUUGCGUCACUGAUGGAUGGACCCGCGGUGCAUUAUCUAUUUGGUGAGGUAACGGCUCACCAAGGCAACGAUGCAUAGCCGACCUGAGAGGGUGAUCGGCCACACUGGGACUGAGACACGGCCCCCACUCCUACGGGAGGCAGCAGUAGGGAAUCUUCUGCAAUGGACGAAAGUCUGACCGAGCAACGCCCCGUGAGUGAAAAAGGUUUUCGGAUCGUAAAACUCUGUUGUUAGAGAAAAACAAGGAUGAGAGUAAAAUGUUCAUCCCUUGACGGUAUCUAACCAGAAAGCCACGGCUAACUACGUGCCAGCAGCCGCGGUAAUACGUAGGUGGCAAGCGUUGUCCGGAUUUAUUGGGCGUAAAGCGAGCGCAGG
rnacentral:rRNA from 1 species